rnacentral:rRNA from 1 species
UAGGGAAUAUUGGACAAUGGGGGCAACCCUGAUCCAGCCAUGCCGCGUGAGUGAAGAAGGCCCUCGGGUUGUAAAGCUCUUUUGUCCGGAAAGAAAAGCAUUCGGUGAAUACCCGGAUGUUCUGACGGUACCGGAAGAAUAAGCACCGGCUAACUUCGUGCCAGCAGCCGCGGUAAUACGAAGGGUGCAAGCGUUACUCGGAAUUACUGGGCGUAAAGCGUGCGUAGGUGGUUGUUUAAGUCUGAUGUGAAAGCCCUGGGCUCAACCUGGGAAUGGCAUUGGAAACUAGGCAGCUAGAGUGCGGUAGAGGGUAGUGGAAUUCCCGGUGUAGCAGUGAAAUGCGUAGAGAUCGGGAGGAACAUCUGUGGCGAAGGCGACUGCCUGGACCAGCACUGACACUGAGGCACGAAAGCGUGGGGAGCAAACA